rnacentral:rRNA from 1 species
GACGAACGCUGGCGGCGUGCUUAACACACGCAAGUCGAACGGUGAAGGGACUGGUUUUGCUGGUCCUGGAUGAGUGGCGAACGGGUGGGUAACACGUGAGUAACCUGCCCCCUUCUUCUGGAUAACCGCAUGAAAGUGUGGCUAAUACGGGAUAUUCUGGGUCUGUCGCAUGGUGGGCCUGGGAAAGAUUGCGCCUUUUUUGGUGUUUUUGGUGGGGGAUGGGCUCGCGGCCUAUCAGCUUGUUGGUGGGGUGAUGGCCUACCAAGGCGGUGACGGGUAGCCGGCCUGAGAGGGUGGACGGUCACACUGGGACUGAGACACGGCCCAGACUCCUACGGGAGGCAGCAGUGGGGAAUAUUGCACAAUGGGCGCAAGCCUGAUGCAGCGACGCCGCGUGAGGGAUGGAGGCCUUCGGGUUGUGAACCUCUUUCACCAGUGAAGCGGGCCUGCCUCUUUUUGUGGGUGGGUUGACGGUAGCUGGAUAAGAAGCGCCGGCUAACUACGUG